UCCGGUGGCGGAGCGCCGCUCGUGGUCGGGACCGGAGCGCGGACAGAUGUGGCGCCGCCUCUCCCCCGCCGCGUACCGCAUGUUCGUGGGAACCCGGUGCUAAAUCAUUCGUAGACGACCUGAUUCUGGGUCGGGGUUUCGUACGUAGCAGAGCAGCUCCCUCGCUGCGAUCUAUUGAGAGUCAGCCCUCGACACAAGCUUUUGU
rfam:Gallus gallus breed Red Jungle fowl, inbred line TCD001 Contig21804.1, whole genome shotgun sequence. [11-NOV-2016]